GAGGGAGCGGCUGUGGCGGCCGAGACGGGGGGUGGAUCGCGCUGUGCUGCCCGGCCGCGCUGCGGUACCGACCCGACCCGGCCCGGCGACCGGCCCCGCUCUACGGCGGGCAGCCCGAUAGGCACAGGGAGCGAGGACCGGGAGCUGGAUGGCGGUGUGGAGGCCUGAGGCGAAGGCUAAGCCUGCCCCUCCCCGGGCCGCCUUCAGCGAGCUUCGGCGCGGGUCUCCGCGUUGAGAGAAGUGAUGAGUCAGGUUUGCUCGGCUCCAUGCUAAUGCACGGAGAUGGAGGGUGUAAUUAGUAGAGAGGCAGGGCUGUGAUCUGCAGCGCGGGGCGGCCGGGCCACGCACCUCCUCUGUGCUUCAGAGCGUCGCUGAAGUUCUCCUUGUUUCGUGCUCCUCCAGCCCCAACGGUGUAUAUGCAGGGUUUGGUGGGAGCAGAGCCACAGACGUCGGAAGGUGUCUGUGUGUGAAACACCCCGCGUUAUGUAAUUCUGAUGUUGAAAGAUGACGGUAAGAAGGAUUUGAUUUAGUCAUGGAAACUGAAUAUUGCGGCUCCCCAAAUCUCUAAGAAGACUUAGGAUGUUGCAUACAGCGUUCUCAAGGUUUCUCCCGUCCAAGUAAUUGUAAAUGGCCCGCUUGAGAGCUGUGAUCUGCUUUAUAUGCUUUCAUCCAUUAGAAUACCUCCUGUCUUUGCAAAACGACACAUUGUGUAAUUUAGGCAACUGGCUGGGCUAAGAAGGGCACAAUGAAGUGAGUAAUUUACAUCUCUUAGGGAGAUUAAUUGAACCCAGCUCUGGUCGUCUUCAAGAACUACUGAGAAGUUUCUCGGCAAACUUCUCCACCCGAAGUAAAAUCACAGCCUCUGCCACCUUGCCCCUUCCAGCAGCUUCUGAAGGAAUCUUCACCUCAAACAGAGCUGUCAGCAGCACUGAGGGCUGCCACUCACCAGUCAUUUCAAUGCGGAAAGCACUCGAGACACAGCAACAGGCAACAGAACGCAGCGCUCACAGAGAAACAAAUUGACAAGUACCCACGACUGGACAUCCUCAGAAACACGGUUGUGUCCUGUUCCUCUCCACUGCAGUUAUUCCCACUCAGAGUGACCACUUCAGAGCUUUAACAAAGCCCAUUACAAACGGGAACAUUUUCCGUUAGCCAAAUGUGAAUCCUGUGAACAAAUGCUGGUGAGUCCAGGAUUUGAGGUCUGCACAACAGCUGCUGACUCAUCAGGAUUUUGUCACUUCCCUGAAGAUGUUGCUGAGUGUUGGCUUCGGAUCUCAGGUGUCCCUCAUUAAGAACUGCCUAUUUUGCCUCAAACCCUCUUGUGGCAGCCAGGCUGCUGAGGAGCCAAGAGUUCAAAAGCUGAAGGGCUAAAAAGAGGGCAAGCAAGAGGGAGCUUUGGUUCAGUUGUGUGCCUGGCCAGCCUUUUUUUUUUUUUUUUUUUUUUUGCACAGAUGUCUUUGUCUUGCUGGAAAAAAAGUUCUCAAGCAGCAGAACUUGUCUGUUCAUAUUUUGCAAAUGAAACACAUGGUACGGCAUGAUGCCAUGUUAAAGAUGGAGCUGAUCAGUGAAAUUAGCUUCCGUUACUCACUGGCAAUGGUAUGGCUUUCAUUAUUUUCACAACAAAUACAAAACUCAGCAGCCUUUAGGAUAUGGCACAUAAUUAAUGUCCAUUUCCCAUUGAAGCCCCCCAAGAUAUGACUCUAAGUACAUUGGAAGAUGAGGCUGAAUUGUAACACAGUUUUAUUCUUUGUUUCUGGACAAAGAAGGCUGAAGUGAUGAAACAUUUGCAUCUGUUUUAAACUUGGCUUAUUUCAUUUUUAAUUUUUUUUUUUUUUAAUCCCACUGCAUUAUUUUUCUGACGGCUACACCCUGAAAAAACAGGUUGUCAGUGCAAGCAGGGUUUUCUCAGAAGGUACCCACAAGAAGCAAUUAGACGUGUGAGCAAAGGCAGUCAGCACAUGGGAUCCUCCCCAGCGAAACAGGCUCAGCGCUGAAGGCUCGUCUGCAUGGCAUGUUUCUUCUUUCAUCGAACACCAGCAAAAUGCCAGGAACAUUCCUGGACAGGAGAAAUCUUGAAUUCUGCAAUUCAGCCUUAAAGAAACACUCCUCUGGGGAACUGCCCAACUGCCUGAUGGAAAUGAGUGACUCCUGUAUGCAGAUCUGCCUUCGAAGACUCUGACCUAUUUCAGCCCAGCUUUGCAGAACACACAAGCUCUAUUUAUGAUGCUGCAGGAAGGGAAAGGCAGGGUGCAAGCAAUGCACCUUGCUCUGCUGGGAAAGAGCUGGCAGCCCCAGCUCCAGCAGUGAAGCCCCGCAUCAGGAGAUGGUGGGACCUGGCUCCUGUUGGGGCAAUGAGUAACAUCAUCACAUCUGACUGAACCUCUGGCAUGUAGACUUGACUACUUACUCUUGCUGCAGAAGCAUUUAUAUUGACACAGAUUCAGGAAGAUGCUGCACAGCAGAAUCAGGGAAACAACUGUUUUAUAAGCAGAGUGAUGCCUUCAUACAGCACAGCAGUGUGAUCUGCGAUGGAAAACAUAACAGGACUGUAUUCCACAGCAAGGUCAUGUUUUGAGAAUUUUAUUCGUCCUCAUUUCUAUUAAAGUGUCUUUUUACAGGGAGAAAUAACUUCUUUUAGUUAUGCUGUAUUGCUCUUGAAACUUAACCUUCCUCUAGCUGGGCUCUAUAAAUCACGGAUUUUCUUAUAAACAGAUUACAGAUCCACUUACAUCUUUGUAUUAUUUGGCUCCUUCAUUUCAGAAACAGUAUGGGCCAUAUUCUUCCCUGGCAUAGCUCCAUUCCCAGUAUUCUUAUUUUGAGGAUGCUGGGCCAGAUUCCUGAUCUCUCUGCUUUGUCAAUGGGCGCUCAGAGCCAUGCUGCUGCGAUCACUGCUGUCACAUAUCAGUAACACCACUCUGCUGCUGAGCAGAACAUAGCCCUCUGCUUAAACAGCACUUUGAUCAAGUGAAAUAAGGAAAAUAUUGCUGAAUGUAGCCUUCAGCAUAUUACUUGUUCUGCUGAAAGAUCAUCCGCUCUUGGCUUAGCUUAUUUCAAGCAUGACAGUCCAGGAAAAAGAGUGUACCUGUGAGUGAAAUAAGACUCAGUGGGAGUCAAUAAGACCCAAAGUAUUGCGGUAUUCAUAAAUGUAUAUUUGUGCUGAAGCAUGCUAAACCUCAAAGGCUGGAUAUAAAUAUCAAUGUCUAUUGAAUUUCAGGAAGAGAUGGCUGGUGGAAAGCAUGCCCGAUGCCGUUCUGCAAUGUGCAACCCUGUUUACACAGGGGCUAUUCAUAGGCACGUUCCUGCUGCUGGGCAGGGAAUUUGCCUCUUCCCAGCCAGCUCAUGCAAAGCAAAUUCUCCUCUAUAGUUCUCAGGCUGGAGAUUUAGCUCCCUUGAAGUAAAGCAGCAGUGCUGUGCUUCCAUGCAAGCGAUGGGCCAGCUGAAGGUGCGGGACAAGGAGCUGCCCAAAACCUGCCAAAGGACAAAAGCAGCUUCAUAAAGGCAGAGGUCAAAAUGGCACUGAUGUCUCCUUGUGAUCAAAUGCAGGCUGCACUUCUUUAAUCAGAAAAUGUGCCACAGUUGGAAUCCGGCAAAAUGAAUUCUAAGCACGUCCCUUCUGCAGCCAGUUUUCCUUCUGCCCACUGGGACAGUGGAGAGAUGACACAGUUCAGAAGUAAACCCACAGCACGGAUUUGUGAUUCUGUCAGAUUGGGUUCUCCUUCCCCACUCCUGGACUUGCUCUGGAGGUCUCUAGGCUUUAUGAAGCUGUAAUGGACAAGGAGAGCACUGGGGAAUUAAAGCCCACCUGCCUCCUGCUAUCCCCUUUCAGGGCUUUUUGGACUGGUGCUUCCUGGAGCUAGUGAGAUCCGUUCAUGAAAGGUGCUGAAUGGCAAACACAAAAGUCCAGAAAGAGUAGUUGUCUUAGGAGUUAUUGAGAACAGUGCCUACUACUUGACAAGCUGCAGAGAAAGUAAAGCCAGAAAAUGCCCACAUUGAGAACAAAGCUGAUGUGACGACUGAGUGCCUGAGAAUGGCACCAAUGGGAAGAGCUCAGCGCGGCAUAUCUGGAGUUAUCUGAGUGACUGAUGGAGAUAAAUUGUGUUCUGCUCACCAGAAAGGCAGUGUGAUAGUUCUGGUGUGAUCUCAUUUUCUUCUGCUAUCAACGCUUUCCUGCCGUUCAUGCUGGGGUGAUUAGCCAAGGCAGGAUCUCUCAGGAGAGGUAAAAGGCCUGGUGGGAUGUUGGCCAUCUAAUUAGCUGCCACUCUCAUUAGCUCAGGGAAAAAGCUGUGUGGGGUUCCCUCCCCCCUCCCCAGCACCUGGGUUACAUCCAUCCGUGAAAGCUAUCAAAAGAGGAGAACGCUUCUUGUUGUGAGUAAACGAGGCAUGGGCAUGGCCUGUGCU